UAGCUCAGUUGGUAGAGCAGUUGACUUUUAAUCAAUUGGUCGCAGGUUCGAAUCCUGCACGACCCACCAUCUUUAACAUCGUACGUCGGUGUUAAACGUGAAGGAUAACGUUGCUUCAGCUACGGCCCGAAGGACGAGCGAAGCGAGUCAUCCUGCACUCCAAUCA
rnacentral:sRNA from 1 species